AUUGGUGCUUGCAUCAUGAUUUACAUUUGAGUGAGUGGCGAACUGGUGAGUAACACGUGGGAAACCUGCCCAGAAGCGGGGGAUAACACCUGGAAACAGAUGCUAAUACCGCAUAACAACUUGGACCGCAUGGUCCGAGCUUGAAAGAUGGCUUCGGCUAUCACUUUUGGAUGGUCCCGCGGCGUAUUAGCUAGAUGGUGGGGUAACGGCUCACCAUGGCAAUGAUACGUAGCCGACCUGAGAGGGUAAUCGGCCACAUUGGGACUGAGACACGGCCCAAACUCCUACGGGAGGCAGCAGUAGGGAAUCUUCCACAAUGGACGAAAGUCUGAUGGAGCAACGCCGCGUGAGUGAAGAAGGGUUUCGGCUCGUAAAACUCUGUUGUUAAAGAAGAACAUAUCUGAGAGUAACUGUUCAGGUAUUGACGGUAUUUAACCAGAAAGCCACGGCUAACUACGUGCCAGCAGCCGCGGUAAUACGUAGGUGGCAAGCGUUGUCCGGAUUUAUUGGGCGUAAAGCGAGCGCAGGCGGUUUUUUAAGUCUGAUGUGAAAGCCUUCGGCUCAACCGAAGAAGUGCAUCGGAAACUGGGAAACUUGAGUGCAGAAGAGGACAGUGGAACUCCAUGUGUAGCGGUGAAAUGCGUAGAUAUAUGGAAGAACACCAGUGGCGAAGGCGGCUGUCUGGUCUGUAACUGACGCUGAGGCUCGAAAGUAUGGGUAGCAAACAGGAUUAGAUACCCUGGUAGUCCAUACCGUAAACGAUGAAUGCUAAGUGUUGGAGGGUUUCCGCCCUUCAGUGCUGCAGCUAACGCAUUAAGCAUUCCGCCUGGGGAGUACGGCCGCAAGGCUGAAACUCAAAGGAAUUGACGGGGGCCCGCACAAGCGGUGGAGCAUGUGGUUUAAUUCGAAGCUACGCGAAGAACCUUACCAGGUCUUGACAUACUAUGCAAAUCUAAGAGAUUAGACGUUCCCUUCGGGGACAUGGAUACAGGUGGUGCAUGGUUGUCGUCAGCUCGUGUCGUGAGAUGUUGGGUUAAGUCCCGCAACGAGCGCAACCCUUAUUAUCAGUUGCCAGCAUUAAGUUGGGCACUCUGGUGAGACUGCCGGUGACAAACCGGAGGAAGGUGGGGAUGACGUCAAAUCAUCAUGCCCCUUAUGACCUGGGCUACACACGUGCUACAAUGGAUGGUACAACGAGUUGCGAACUCGCGAGAGUAAGCUAAUCUCUUAAAGCCAUUCUCAGUUCGGAUUGUAGGCUGCAACUCGCCUACAUGAAGUCGGAAUCGCUAGUAAUCGCGGAUCAGCAUGCCGCGGUGAAUACGUUCCCGGGCCUUGUACACACCGCCCGUCACACCAUGA
rnacentral:rRNA from 2 species